UGCUUUACACAUGUUAGUCGAGCGAGGCGGGUAGCAAUACCCAGUCGAGCGGCGAACGGGUGAGUAACGCGUGGAUAACCUGCCCUGAGGUGUGGAACAACCAGGGGAAACUCUGGCUAAUACCGCAUGAUACCGAGAGGUCAAAGGGGGCUCGCAAGGGCUCUCGCCACAGGAGGGGUCCGCGUCCGAUUAGCUAGUUGGUAGGGUAAUGGCCUACCAAGGCGACGAUCGGUAGCCGGCCUGAGAGGGUGAUCGGCCACACUGGAACUGAGACACGGUCCAGACUCCUACGGGAGGCAGCAGUGGGGAAUUUUGCGCAAUGGGCUAACGCCUGACGCAGCAACGCCGCGUGGAGGAUGAAGGUCCUUGGAUUGUAAACUCCUGUCAGCGGGGAAAAAGCGACUCGGCCUAAUACGCCGGGAAGUUGAUUGUACCCGCAGAGGAAGCCCCGGCUAACUCUGUGCCAGCAGCCGCCGUAAUACAGAGGGGGGCAA
rnacentral:rRNA from 1 species